CCGCGAUCAGCUAAUAGAUGUGAUAAAGUACUCCUAUUUAAGAUUGUACUAAAACUCCUAGGUUUUCAUAGGACAAGAAUUCUUAAUCUCUAAUGGUCUUGAAAAUUGAGAAGAGAACAAUUACAUAUAUAUUUAUACAUCUGAGAUUUGAUCCAUGACAGUGAUUCUAUUCAUGCAACACAUCAACAAUGGACAAGACUCUUUCCGGUGAUGUUGAACAUCAGGAAAUUCCUGGAAGUUAUCAUGAGCAAUAUUCUGAGAUUUUGGAAGUGCCGUUCGAGUAUUUGAAAGCAGUUCAAUGGAGGUUGGAUGUUGAAUCAGAAGAAAUCAAAUUUUUGAAGGGGAUGGAAAAGUUUUGUGUUUCCAAAUCUUAUGAACUUGAUCAGGAGAAAUUGAAGGCCGUGAAGACCCUUAAGGCUCGACGAUUUAAUUUCUUCAAGAAUGACGACGUUUUCUUCUUGGCUUUUCUGUGGAUGGCAACAAUGAAGACACCAUUGGAGGGAGUAGAAAAGUUUCAACACUAUGUCCUAUCUCCACUCCAGUCUACAGUAAAAUUAUUUUAUGGGGAGGAAAGUGAUGUUUCUGUGCUGGUAGACUUGGCUGGGACACAACUCAGGAAUAUUAAAGCCUACAAUAGAAAAAUAUUAGAUUUUCUGGAAACUGAUGACUUGAACGAGGUGACAUUGCAGGAGAUGAGCAAUCACUACGUAAAUUUGGAUAAAGGAAUGUGGAGUGUGAACAUGAAAAUCGACAUUUUGAGAUUUCACUUGGCGCACCGACAGCGUGAUCUAAAGGCUUUGGUGGACAGAUUUGUGGAAUCGGUGGAAGAUGAACUCCAGCAAUAUGAGGAGGAACUAGAGAAGACCAGGUUUAAAGUGUUUCAAUUAGUGAAGAAGAACAAAACCGACCUGUUUAGACUUCGAUUGUUACCUGAUUCUUGGAAGGUAACUUGCGUGUCUAUUGGCAUGAAGACAAUCCUCUUGUGUGGGAGACUCAUGCAAUGUCUUGGGUGCGUGCUUGACCUAUGUUGCACGGACACGGACACGGAUACGGCGACACGACACGGCGCGACACGGCGACACGGAAAAACCUAAAAACAGAGGAUCCGACACGGCAAAUAAAAUAUAUAUAUUUAUAUACUAAAUACAUAAAAAGAUACUAAAAUUUGACAUAAGGAUAAUCUUAUUAACAAAAUAGUGUUCUAAAUCCAUUACAAAUAACAAUCAAACAACUUCAAAUAGAUUUAGUAAGUGCAAAUGAAGAGAUGUUCAUAAAUGACAUAUGCAAUAGCCACAAUAGGCAGCAACUUUGGAGUUUGGACGUUUGGGCAACAACUUUGCACCUUCAACAAUGCAACACCUAAUACACAAUAAGAGUUGGUCAUUCAUAAUCAAUCUAAACAUCUUAAUCAUUCCAUAAUAAUUNNNNNNNNNNNNNNNNNNNNGCUAACUUUACUCCUCAAAACAUAGUAAACACCAUCCGAAGUAUUGUUUUUGUUCGAAAGUUGUUCAAGAGUGUAACCAUUAGGCCAAUUUGUAAAAGCCUAGCAGGGAAGUGGAGAU
rnacentral:lncRNA from 1 species